rnacentral:rRNA from 1 species
CAGUCGCCGCGGGAAUACGAAGGGUGCAAGCGUUAAUCGGAAUUACUGGGCGUAAAGCGUGCGUAGGCGGUGAGUUAAGUCUGCUGUGAAAUCCCCGGGCUCAACCUGGGAAUGGCAGUGGAUACUGGCUCGCUAGAGUGUGUCAGAGGAUGGUGGAAUUCCCGGUGUAGCGGUGAAAUGCGUAGAGAUCGGGAGGAACAUCAGUGGCAAAGGCGGCCAUCUGGGACAACACUGACGCUGAGGCACGAAAGCGUGGGGAGCAAACAGGAUUAGAUACCCCUGUAGUCCCUGUCUCUUAUAC